AUACCCUGGUAGUCCACGCCCUAAACGAUGUCAACUAGCUGUUGGGGGUUUGAAUCCUUGGUAGCGUAGCUAACGCGUGAAGUCGACCGCCUGGGGAGUACGGCCGCAAGGUUAAAACUCAAAGGAAUUGACGGGGACCCGCACAAGCGGUGGAUGAUGUGGAUUAAUUCGAUGCAACGCGAAAAACCUUACCUGCUCUUGACAUGUACGGAACUUGGUAGAGAUAUCUUGGUGCCCGAAAGGGAGCCGUAACACAGGUGCUGCAUGGCUGUCGUCAGCUCGUGUCGUG
rnacentral:rRNA from 1 species